UUCGAUUCGAGCGAAAGCGAGAAAGCGUUGCCGCAGGCAACGACCCGAAGGGCGAAGCGCGCAGCGCUGAGUCAACCUUCCCCCACCACCA
rnacentral:sRNA from 1 species